UGUGCAGGAGCCCAAGGAAGCCAGA
rnacentral:piRNA from 1 species